GAUGAACGCUAGCGACAGGCUUAACACAUGCAAGUCGAGGGGCAGCACGGGAGUAGCAAUACAACUGGUGGCGACCGGCGCGACGGGUGAGUAACGCGUAUGCAACCUACCUAUCAGGAAGGGAACUAACCCGGCGAAAGUCGGACUAAUACCGCAUAAAACAGGGGCACCGCAUGGUGAUAUUGUUAAAGAAAUUCGCUGAUAGAUGGGCAUGCGUUCCAUUAGGUAGUUGGUGAGGUAACGGCUCACCAAGCCGACGAUGGAUAGGGGAACUGAGAGGUUGGUCCCCCACACUGGUACUGAGACACGGACCAGACUCCUACGGGAGGCAGCAGUGAGGAAUAUUGGUCAAUGGGCGGGAGCCUGAACCAGCCAAGUCGCGUGAAGGAAGAAGGAUCUAUGGUUCGUAAACUUCUUUUGCAGGGGAAUAAAGUGCAGGACGUGUCCUGUUUUGUAUGUACCCUGAGAAUAAGGAUCGGCUAACUCCGUG
rnacentral:rRNA from 1 species